rnacentral:rRNA from 1 species
GUUGUCCGGAUUUACUGGGCGUAAAGAGCGUGUAGGCGGCCAAGCAGGUCCGUUGUGAAAACUGGAGGCUUAACCUCCAGACGUCGACGGAAACCGCGUGGCUAGAGUCCGGAAGAGGAGAGUGGAAUUCCUGGUGUAGCGGUGAAAUGCGCAGAUAUCAGGAAGAACACCAAUGGCGAAGGCAGCUCUCUGGGACGGUACUGACGCUGAGACGCGAAAGCGUGGGGAGCGAACAGG